AGCUUUUGAGAUGCCAUUAUAUGUGUUGGUUGGGUGAUCAGGAGCAUGUAUAGGGGGCUAUGGUGCAUAGGUGGGCUUUAUAGGGUUAAUUCAAUCCCAUGAGCAUUAAAAUUCAAAUCAUUUUAUAAGAUUGUGUAUCUACUUAAUUUAGUGUGGAUAUCUCAUUUUUUUGGUAAUGUAUCAAUCUUCUUAUAAGAAGAUAAUGCAAGCAUUUAAACCAGUAUCACUAGUCACAUAUACUCUU
rnacentral:lncRNA from 1 species